CAACCAGAGCAGAAAUUUUGCUGUUUAGUCUGCUAAUUUUCGCCCGAAGGAGAACGAUGUCAGGGUAGAAAAUGGUUG
rnacentral:sRNA from 20 species